rnacentral:rRNA from 1 species
CAGUCGCCGCGGGAAUACGAAGGGGGCUAGCGUUGCUCGGAAUGACUGGGCGUAAAGGGCGCGUAGGCGGCGGCCAAAGUCAGGCGUGAAAUUCCCGGGCUCAACCUGGGGGCUGCGUUUGAUACUUGGUUGCUUGAGUGGGGAAGAGGGUCGUGGAAUUCCCAGUGUAGAGGUGAAAUUCGUAGAUAUUGGGAAGAACACCGGUGGCGAAGGCGGCGACCUGGUCCUUUACUGACGCUGAGGCGCGAAAGCGUGGGGAGCAAACAGGAUUAGAGACCCCGGUAGUCCCUGUCUCUUAUAC